CUCAGCCCCAAGACUCCUUGGUUCUUAAGGAGGAACAAAAUGGCCCUACUACCUGAAGCUUUCAUUCAGCUUUCCUUGUGUGUCUGGAGUCUUCUACCCUCCAGUGAUUGAGAGAGAGAACCCCUCUGUUACUCAGACCUAUUUUGUGGCACUUGUCCAUGCUGUUUGUGAUACCUAAUGCUGUGAAUCAUUGAAAUUCAUGCUGUGACUUGGGUAGACCUAGCUGAAGAGAAACCUGAACACUAACCCUUGUGGAAUGAUAUCUUGGUAGACUUGCCUGUGGUCUCGGAACCAGAGGAUACCUUUUCAUUCAUUUAUUUAUCAAAUACUGAAGCCAGCAGGUGCAAGGGUCUGUGCUAAACACGGAGAAGAAAUGAUAAGCAAAAGUAUAAUCCCUGCUGUAUGGAGGUUACAGUUUGGAGGUGGGUUUUAAAGAUGAUACUUUGCUUCAAAAAAUGGGUGGAGAAAGUAAUUAUCAUGACUUUUUAAUGCUUGUAUGCAGGACUAACACCACCAGGGCAAAGCAAAUCUCAAGCCCUAUGUAAGUUGGAGGGCAUCAGUUAAUUACCUGCUCAGAAGCUUAUAGUGGAUGAGUUAGACUUCAUGUGAUCUCAUGUAAAUUUAAAAAAUGUCCCUUCCUCAAAGGUGGGGAGUCUUCUUGCUGCAUUAGGUCAACUGAGUAAGAUGAUCAGGUUGAACUGAGCCAUGGUUGAAGGGAGAUUUUCUUCUCUGCAGAUCUGAGAAAGUACCAUAAGCUUCAAUAGUCUAUUCUUAGACUAUUCUUAGACUAUCCCUACUUUCCUGUGUGUGGAGAAUUCAAUACCACAUCAGAGCAAUAUUUGUGGAAUGAACAAAUUAAUGAUAAUUAUGAUGAAUUUUAAUGUAUAAUAGAGGUAAUGGAUGACAUCAAGAUUUUAAGAAGAGUAUAUAAGGUUUACUUCCCUUUGUAGAGAACCCAAAGACCAUUAAAGUCUUUGCUAAGGGAUUUCCAGCUUUAUUAUUCAUACUUCUCCCAUCCAUUGACAUGCUUAGCAAUAUAUAGAGAGUGACAUUCAACAAGCAUUUCAUAAUAAAAACAAUAGUCUUGCUGGACUUGAAUUGUAUCAUACUUUUCUCUUUAUUUUUUACUUCUUAUAGUUUUCUUUCAGUUUAAAAGAUAAUGUCACAAGACAUUUAUAUGUCCUAUGCUAUGUGAUUCAUACAUAGGAUAGGAUAUAUGUACUGAUGUUAUAACAUAGUUAUCCAUAUAUCACAGCUCUGUGGAGAAGACAGUGCACCUGCAUCAAAAUUUUGUCACAUGAAAUAGAAGGAAAAUAUUGAACUGUUUCUAAUUAUGUGGCUGCGAUCCAUCUCAUGACCUGGAGAACCU
rnacentral:lncRNA from 1 species